rnacentral:rRNA from 1 species
GACGAACGCUGGCGGCGUGCUUAACACAUGCAAGUCGAACGAAAAGACGGAAAGAGCUUGCUCUUUUCAGAAUUGAGUGGCAAACGGGUGAGUAACACGUAAACAACCUGCCUUCAGGAUGGGGACAACAGACAGAAACGACUGCUAAUACCGAAUAAGUUUCAAGAGCCGCAUGGCCCAUGGAAGAAAAGGUGGCCUCUACCUGUAAGCUAUCGCCUGAAGAGGGGUUUGCGUCUGAUUAGCUGGUUGGAGGGGUAACGGCCCACCAAGGCGACGAUCAGUAGCCGGUCUGAGAGGAUGAACGGCCACACUGGAACUGAGACACGGUCCAGACUCCUACGGGAGGCAGCAGUGGGGAAUCUUCCGCAAUGGGCGAAAGCCUGACGGAGCAACGCCGCGUGAGUGAUGACGGCCUUCGGGUUGUAAAACUCUGUGAUCCGGGACGAAAAGGCAGAGUGCGAAGAACAAACUGCAUUGACGGUACCGGAAAAGCAAGCCACGGCUAA